rnacentral:rRNA from 1 species
CCUACGGUGAGCAGCAGUGAGGAAUAUUGGUCAAUGGGCGCGAGCCUGAACCAGCCAAGUCGCGUGAGGGAAGACGGCCCUACGGGUUGUAAACCUCUUUUGCCGGGGAGCAACGGGCGCCACGUGUGGCGCCACUGAGAGUACCCGGAGAAAAAGCAUCGGCUAACUCCGUGCCAGCAGCCGCGGUAAUACGGAGGAUGCGAGCGUUAUCCGGAUUUAUUGGGUUUCAAGGGUGCGUAGGCGGAGGGGUAAGGCAGUGGUCAAAUUGAGGGGCUCAACCCCUUCCCGCCAUUGAAACGGGCGCUCGUGAGUGGAAGAGAAGGAUGCGGAAUGCGGGGUGGAGCGGGGAAAUGCAGAGAUA